GACGUAGGGCGCGAGCGUUGUCCGGAUUUAUUGGGCGUAAAGAGCUCGUAGGCGGCUUGUCGCGUCGUCCGUGAAAACCUGCAGCCCAACUGUAGGCUUGCGGUCGAUACGGGCAGGCUGGAGUUCGGUAGGGGAGACUGGAAUUCCUGGUGUAGCGGUGAAAUGCGCAGAUAUCAGGAGGAACACCGGUGGCGAAGGCGGGUCUCUGGGCCGAUACUGACGCUGAGGAGCGAAAGCGUGGGGAGCGAACAGG
rnacentral:rRNA from 1 species